rnacentral:rRNA from 1 species
UGGUGCAUGGUUGUCGUCAGCUCGUGUCGUGAGAUGUUGGGUUAAGUCCCGCAACGAGCGCAACCCUUGAUCUUAGUUGCCAGCAUGAAAGAUGGGCACUCUAAGAUGACUGCCGGUGACAAACCGGAGGAAGGCGGGGAUGACGUCAAAUCAUCAUGCCCCUUAUGACCUGGGCUACACACGUACUACAAUGGCCGGUACAACGGGGAGCGAAACCGCGAGGUGGAGCAAAUCUUGAUAAGCCGGUCUCAGUUCGGAUUGCAGGCUGCAACUCGCCUGCAUGAAGUCGGAAUUGCUAGUAAUCGCGGAUCAGCAUGCC